UCAUUAAAUAUAUUUUUUAUUAGUUUUGUAAUUAAAAACUAUAAUUCUUUAAAUAAGGAUAAAAUUGUAAUUUGAAACUAUUUACUCCCAAUCUAAGACAAAGUAAACACAUAAAUUGGAUUCUGAUCUCCAUUCUAUGCUUCCAUUCCAGUGUAAGUAAACAACAUACUCCCACUCCCACUCCACACUCCCAAUCCUAAGAUUUUCACUCCCCAGAAUUCUCAAUCCAAUCCAAAAAGUAAACUCUACCUUAGUUUUAUUACCAGUUAUAAACCUAAACGCUGCCCUUAUGUUUUAACCGGUCUUCUGCUGCUUCGCUUGGUUUUCUGGUUGCCACACUUUCAACUUGCUAUUUACCGAAUUGGCCAUUGGAUUUCAUUGUUUAUACUUUAUAAUCCAACACGCUGGGCCAACUAGGCGACAAAGUCAGGGGGAUGUAACCCCCGGGCAACUUAGUCGCAGCCCCUAUAUAAAAUAUGUGAAUAUGUUGCACAUACUGCAUUAACUGAUAUUGCUCACUGCUUCACAGAAGAAAUCUGACAAAUAGCAUAUAGACUUAACUUACGGCAUUAUUGAAGAAAGUAUUACAUAUGUGUAGGGUGGUUCCCUUCUCAUAACCAAAAUAUUCCCUUGCAUGAUAAAUGUCAGUCAGCUGAAUCCGUCCCAUUAGUUAAUCAUUUGAAAGACCCCUGAUUGAAAAUAUUUUAUGAGAUUUGUUCAAGCAAAUCCAACAAAGAAUUGGAUUCAAUACAAUCCAAGAAAAUUGUUAGAUGACCAAUUGUGUUUCUUGACUAAGAAAAAACACAAAAGACCAAGAAGCAAACAAGAAAAGAUGAUCAAACAGCAAAGGAAUGAAACCCAGAAAAUAAGGACAAUCAAACACAGUGCACAAAGCAGAAAAUUCGAUCUACCAGAACAGAGCUUCAAGCUCUUUAUUAUUAACAUAAUUGAAUGCAAGUAUACAGAGGGAAUUACAAGCUUCCAAUGACUCGCUUGCAUCUAAGCUCUUAAGGCUACAUUUGGGACGCAUGAUGAACUAUUAUUAAGACUAGAUUGACUUAGAUUAGAUUAGGUUGGAUUACAUAUAAGACUGUCUUUUAUUUGGUAUAAAGUUAGUCGGACUAGGUUAAAUUUAAUAAAGUUAUUAACUAUUUAAAUAGUAUAACU
rnacentral:lncRNA from 1 species